rnacentral:rRNA from 1 species
UACAGAGGGGGCAAGCGUUGUUCGGAAUUACUGGGCGUAAAGGGCGCGUAGGUGGCCUUCUAAGUUGAACGUGAAAUCCCUGGGCUCAACCCAGGAACUGCGUCCAAGACUGGGAGGCUUGAAUCCGGGAGAGGGAUGCGGAAUUCCAGGUGUAGCGGUGAAAUGCGUAGAUAUCUGGAGGAACACCGGUGGCGAAGGCGGCGACCUGGUCCUUGACUGACGCUGAGGCGCGAAAGCGUGGGGAGCAAACAGG